AUGAGUCUGGGUGAACUCUGGGAGUUGGUGAUGGACAGGGAGGCCUGGCGUGCUGUGAUUCAUGGGGUUGCAAAUAGUCGGACAUGACUGAGCGACUGAACUGAACUGACCCAUUUUUCUUCUGGUAAAGGCGGCUCUGAGCCUGGCCGCAUGGUCCUGGUUUACUUGGUGAUUGUAUUUCCCUUUGCAAAUGAAGAUUGUGGCAUUCAAGUUUGGAUCAGCACCGCUCUGAGUGUGGGAUGAGGAUCAGAGCUUGUGUGUGAAUUGUUACCAGAAUACAAGGUCAUCAAGAGUAAAUAUUUAGAAACUUCUGUAGCCAUUGACUUUGCCCUACCAUCCAAGCUCAGGGUCAGUGAAUGGGUCUUGUGAACAGGGCUUGAAGGUAGUAAGUUCAAGUGGUGAAUGUCGUGUGGUGUGAUCAUUCACAGUGGGACCACACAUCAGACCAUGAUGGAGUGGAAUUGAACUUUUAAGUGAUAUGUCACAACAUACAGCUUAAGUCCUUGGGAUUUCCGGCGGCAUCAGUCAGUCCUUUAGAAUCUAGUCAAGGAUAGCCCUAAUAAAGGGGCUUCCCGGGUGGUGCUAAUGGUAAAGAAUGAGCCUGCCAAUUUCAAAUCCUGGGUGAGACAGAUCCCCUGGAGAAGGAAAUGGCACCCCAGUCCUGUAUUCUUGCCUGGGAAAUUCCAUGGUUAGAGGAGCCUGGCAGGCUCCAGUUCAUGGGGCCACAAAGAGUUGGACAUGACUGAGCACACACUGCACAGCUGUAAUAAGAUCAAAUUUCUAGACCAGCAAGAAGAACUUCUGCAAAGACCCUGGUCUGGGCUGUGGAUCCAUUAUGGGGGCCAGCCUGGGCCAUCUGCCCAUCCUCACACCCUACCCUCACCCCUGGCUACCCAAUUUGUCGAAGAACAACUAAUGCAAACAGUCUGCAAGGGCAGGAUGCUUUCUCCAGCCAAGCCAGAUCCCCGCUCUCCCUUCUUUUUUCAAAUUAAAAUGGAGAUGUGCUAUGGCUGCCUCUCCCAGACCCCUCUUCCUGAGAGGACUUGGCAGGGACCAAGGGGCACUCGGAAGCCCCACACAAGCUGUCGAGGCUGCUCUGGAAGGGGGUAAUCUCAGGAAGGAUGAUUUAGAGCAUGGCGUGGCAGGGCUGGAGGCGGUGAGGUAGCUGUUCCCCACGGCGCUCAUUAAGCUUCCAUAGAUUGCAUUUCCUGCCUCCCCCGCCAGCCCUCCAAAGUGCCUGUUAUUAAUUCAUAAAAACACUGCAAGCGUGAUUGAGUCCGCUGAUUACUGGAGCAGGCAGACACAAGAGACGGUAAAAUAUUCCGUGUCUCUCUAUCAAGCUCUCAGGGGCUCAGGAGGAAGAAAAAAAAUAAAAAAAGAGAAAAGCAACAACAUGAAGAAAGGAAUAUGAAAAAAAAAAAAAACCCUUGUGUUGUGAAAUAUUAAUCAGAGCUGUUUGCCCCUGGGGGCCAAAAAUAUGAGGCGGCAUAAUCAAUGUAGCAAGAGCUGCCCAGCGACAUGUCUUUGAGAAGCUGAUUAUUGCGGGUAAACACAGCUAAAUAUUCUGGAUCUUUGGACUGUGCCUCUGGUGUUGCUGGAGAAUCCGAUUCCCUUAUCAUCCUUCUGCAGGUGUGGCCCCAGGGGAGCAUGGGAGGUGCUGGCAGGAUAUGGUUUCCUGGGCAGGGAGUCACUUGGGCCCCAGUAGGAGCUGCUUCUGUUACUUUCCAAAUGCUAAUCAGGAAAGAGGAGAAGUGGGGUUGUGGGGGAAGAUACCCAAGGAGGUUUGUGUGCGCAUAGAGGCUGGGGCCAUCUUCCAGAAUUGGCUCUUAACAGCUAAUGACCAGAUGCUGAUCAUGCCAAGGAAGCUCCAGUUCUUGAAUGGCCUUUCUGAGGGUCCCCCAAAGGAGCCCAGGCGGUUUUAAGGGGAAUUGGGCAAUGCACUCAGGGAUCCCUAGGAAGACUGGGGUCUUUCCUACAAAACUCUGCAUUGCAGACAAUUUGGUUAGUUGACUGCAACAUAAGCUCACUGUAUGCACAUCGUGGCAUUAAUGGAUCCCCACAGCUACCCCACAUCCACUGAGUUCAGUGACUGGGAUCUGAAACCUGCAUACAAACUGGAAAGGAAUGUUCACAUGUCACAGUGGGCUUGGGUGAGUGUGGGGAUCAUUCAAACCUGGCGGUGGACCUCACCUGCUCCAAAUCUGAGGCUAUCAGCAUAGAAGUGACUUUGGAGAACGGGUAUCUUCUUCAUUGAGAACAGAGGCCCAGAGAGGGACAGUGACUUGCCCUAGAUCACACAGCAGAGAUAGGAUUCUUGAUGCAUAGGCCAAUCUCCCAGCACAUCCCUUGGGGCAUGAAGAAGGAGGAGCAGGGGCAAGUGAUGGAGAUUUGUUUACAUUAAGCCUUCAGGAUUAAAGAAAGCUCCCUGUCAGCUAGGAGGAGCUGGGUUAAAGGUGAGUGAACCCAGAGAAAGAGAUGGUGCCUCAGAAUUCCUGGGUGCUAGCUUCAACCCCACAAGUAAAUUUUUUGAGAACCUUAAUUAAAUCACCAUCUCUGAGCCUCAGUUUCCUCACCUGAAAGGAGUUUGACUAAGUAGUGAUAGCAAAGAUCUCAUCAAGUCCUGAUGAAUGAUAGCAGGAUUUGAAGUAAGCUGUGGCUAGGGUCUUCUCCAUUAAGGGCAGAAAAGCAAGGCAAGCUGGACAAAUCACAGUGUUCCCCACUCCAGGGACCAGGAGAGAAGCUUCCAUAAAAGGACUCAGGAGGAGAAUGACCCUCAGCUCCAAAGUGCCCUGAGUUACUUUGCUCUUCUCUUGGUGUUUAUUACAAAAGUUCAGAACUCCAUCUCUGUUCUCCAUCAGUCACAACCCAUGCUGGGGGAGGACUUAUGGGAGUGAUGGCUAAUUGCUUUGAACUGGAGAACAAGGAUUAUCAAGGUUCAACAACUUGCUCCAAGUCAUAGAGCUGGCCACUUGUGGAGCUAGGAUGUGAACAAGGUCUCUAUCAGAUUCCCAAGGUGAUGACUUUUCAUAGAGGAAGGAUGAGUUUGGGAAGAUUUCAUUCAGAGGUGACAUUUGAGCAAAGGUUGGAAGGAUGAGCAUGCUUUGGUUGUAUAGGCAGGCCUGGCAGAAGAGGAUCUUCCUGUCUGGAACAUGGGCAUAAUGGCUGGAGCUACAGCAGCCAUUUUGUGAAUAAGAUGGACUCACACUUUCAGGCUGGUGGAGCAGAGAGCUGUAAGGAGCUUGGGUCCCUGAUGAACUCAUGGACCAUGUUAAACAGUCAGCAAAUGGUUCACUCUGGCCUACCUGGGCCUACCAACUCUACCUCAGGUAUAGGCUGGGGAACCUCAGUACCAGCUCCUUUAUUCUGACCUGUAUCCAGAUGCUUUCCUCUCUGGGAUCUACCCACAAGACCCAGAAGCAUCCCUUCUUAUCCCAUUGAAUCUGCUUUCCUGGCUGACACUCCCCUCCUUGACUAACUCCAUUCUCCAUCCCUGGAGACAGCCCAUCCUUCCUGCUUGGCACAUCCACCCCAGGUUGGAUGCCAACAAGAUCCCUGUACUGAGAGCUAGAACCACAUCCACAAAUCCAGUUGUGAAGGCUGUUAGGCAUGACCCUGGUCCUGGAGCACAAAUUUGGGAUCCCCAAACUGAUCGUAGCCCAGGGCUUUCUCAUGUGGCUUCCCAGAUGCCCAAGCCAGACACUUGGGAGAAAGCCCCUCUCUUACCACCCUCCACCUCCCACCACACCAUUCAAAGGACCACCAUAUCCAGGUGACUCCAACUGCUAACCAGUCCCAAAAGGCAUUACGUCGCUCCACCCUGUUGCCACUUCCUGGGCAGGCUGCUGCCCUCUCUCUCUGGAUUGUCCCAAUUGCCCCUCCCUGAGAUAUCUCCCUGCAACCUUAUUUGUCUCCAACCCAAGCUCCACUCCACAGUCAGUGUAGCUUUUGCAGAACAUAAAGCCGAUUGCCUUCCUUCUUCGCUUACCCGUCUACACUCACUGGCUUCUGAGGCUUUGUAGCCUGGUUAUGUGUCACACUCUGUCUAUGCUGACUGCCCUUCUCCCUCCCACCAUCCUCAGGGAAUCGUCCUAACCUCUGGACCAGGUGGAAUUUUCCUGGCGCUAGGUCCCAACACCCCGUGUGCAUCCCUGCUCUCAUCGUCAGGCGCCCCCCUGCUGUGCACACACUGUGGAGAGGGGCUUAGCCUGCCAGCUGCACCCUGUGCCCACCAUCUGGCUGAGCCCCUGGCCCAGGGUGGGCUUCAGAAGCUCUUUGUUGAGUGAUAGAGGGCAUAAGCCAGAGCCUGGAUCCAGCAGAGAGGGCUGAGAUAUUCCAGUAACUUCUGGGUCCCUCAGCUGUGACCUUGUGCUGCCUCCAUCCAUCUGAGACAGCAGCCCAGCCUGGGGUUAAGCAACCAUGCUGGUGAGGAAGUUGGCACAGGCACUGGGGCUUGGAGGUGCCCCCUGCUGCCUGCUGAUGGCCAGGCUCUUGCACACUGGAGGAAUGGGAUCUCCCUCUGUUCCUGGAAGGAAUCAGGACCUUCCCUCCUCCUUCACCAGAAGUCAGAACCAUUCCUGAAGAGCACUGGAUGAGAACCUGGAGUGGCCUUGGGAAAGAAAUCCCCCAAGUCCUGCAAUCUUAAACUCAAUAUAAGUGACACAGACUCCCCAGGUGGGAAUGUCCCAGGGUAGCAGCUCUCCAACUUGAGUGGACAUCAGGAUCUCCUGGAGGGCUUGUUAAAACACAGAUUGUAGGCUCUACCCCUACAGUUUCUGAUGUAUAGAUAGAGUUGGGGCAGGACUGGGGAUCUGCAUUUCUAACAGGCUCCCAGGUGCUGCUGAUGGUGCUGGUCAGGGGGUCACACUGAGGGGUUUGCCCGACUGGGACCUAGGGAAGCCAUCCUGGAGCCUCUGCCACCCUUUAGAGGCAGGGGAGGUGCCCCUGGCUGGCACCACCAAGCUGGACAGCUGUGAUCAGAUGCCCAGGAAAGUGACUGAGGAGGACUCUCAGCACUCCUGGAUGCUCACCCCACACCCACAUCCUGGCACACUCACAGCCUGGUCUCUAUUCAGCUGCCUUUGUAAUCCCUUCCUAAAACCCUUGAAAAGAGGGAGAAAGAGUUAAAGUCCUUACUCUGCACUAUGGAAGAAAUAUUAAGGAAUGAUGUAGCCUUAAACCCUAUAUAUGUAAAUGUACUCAUUUGAAUAACUGCCAAUUUAUAUGCCUCAUCAAAUUAGGUAUUCAAAUUCUAGCCUGUGUAUGUACAGUUGUUUCUCUUCCUGGUUCGGGCUUAAAUAGUUACUUGAAGGAUGAGCUGCUGGCUUCUCUUCUGGGCUCCUGUCUCCUUAGGACUGAAAGGAAUAAUUAGAGAUUAGUUUUCUGGAGCAUAAUUUGUCCCUUUGAUGACUGGGCCGGCCCUCUUUUUUGUCAUUUCUGUCACAGUAAUACACCAUCUCCUUCUGUGUGGGGCUCCUGGAAGAAUGUGUUUUUUUCAAUACCCCUGGGUUUCACCACACCCCAGGGGGUGCCAGGGUGUAAAAUUGGACCACAUCUCACAGGUGGAGAAACUGAGACUUGAGGUUACACAGCCUACAAAAUGGGAACUCCAGCCUGGGGUUUUGGAUUCAAAACCCAGGCCUCUCUAUUUCGUCGUAUCAGUCCUAGGCAUGUGCAUUUUCUCUUUUUUAGCCCCAGAAGAUCAUAAUUGGUGAUGAUUUAAAGCGCUCUGAUUCUUUUCUAAGAGUUCUCUAAGAGCAAAGCCCUUUUACUCAGUUCUUUCUGAUAACCCCUGUGGGGCACGUGCAAACAGUUAUUCUUCACCCCAUUACACAGAUGAGGAAACUGAGGUCUGAAGUUAUAGGGCAGGCUAG